rnacentral:rRNA from 1 species
AACGAACGCUGGCGGCAUGCUUAACACAUGCAAGUCGAACGGACUUGUGGGGCUUGCUCCACAAGUUAGUGGCAGACGGGUGAGUAACGCGUGGGAAUGUACCUUUUGGUUCGGAAUAACUACGGGAAACUGUGGCUAAUACCGGAUAAGCCCGUGAGGGGAAAGAUUUAUCGCCAAAAGAGCAGCCCGCGUUAGAUUAG